AUUUGACAUUAUAAACUCUUCUUUUAACUACGAUUGACAUGUUUGUAAAUAAAGAAAACUACCUCUUUAUUUUCAAACUUCGACACCCUAAACCCUAGACAAUAUAAUAAUGUUCGGCACUUAAAUAGAAAUACAGAGUUAGUUGAAGGCAAAUUACGAAUCUGUGUUCUGCAUAAAAAAUAUGAUUCCAGUCCGCCGAAUUCGAAGUGUUGUUAAACAUGUGCAAGGAGCGAUUUUGACAUCAAAAACAGCAAGUUUGAAGAAUCGAAUAAACCUCAAAAAUGUUUAAAGAGAGGAGGAUGACUGAAUGUCGAAGAAGAUAAUUCAACGCAGAAUAUGAUAACAUUGAGAACUAAAUGUUUUAUUUAUUUAUGAUGAGAA